UACGGGAGGCAGCAGUGGGGAAUAUUGCACAAUGGGCGAAAGCCUGAUGCAGCUAUGCCGCGUGUAUGAAGAAGGCCUUAGGGUUGUAAAGUACUUUCAUUGGGGAGGAAAAAACAAAACUAAUAAUUUUAUUUCUUGACGUUACCCGAAAAAGAAGCACCGGCUAACUCCGUGCCAGCAGCCGCGGUAAUACGGAGGGUGCUAGCGUUAAUCAGAAUUACUGGGCGUAAAGAGCACGUAGGUGGUUUUUUUAAAGUCAGAUGUGAAAUCCCUGGGCUUAACCUAGGAACUGCAUUUUGAAACUGAAAUACUAGAGUAUCGUAGAGGGAGGUAGAAUUCUAGGUGUAGCGGUGAAAUGCGUAGAUAUCUGGAGGAAUACCUGUGGCGAAAGCGGCCUCCUAAACGAAUACUGACACUGAGGUGCGAAAGCGUGGGGAGCAAACAGGGAUUAGAUACC
rnacentral:rRNA from 1 species